UAUUGGGCAAUGGGCGGCAGCCUGACCCAGCCAUGCCGCGUGCAGGAAGAAGGCGUUCUGCGUUGUAAACUGCUUUUAUACGGGAAGAAAAGGCCCAUGCGUGGGACAUUGCCGGUACCGUAUGAAUAAGCACCGGCUAACUCCGUGCCAGCAGCCGCGGUAAUACGGAGGGUGCGAGCGUUGUCCGGAUUUAUUGGGUUUAAAGGGUGCGUAGGCGGCCUGUUAAGUCAGCGGUGAAAGUCAGUGGCUCAACCAUUGAACUGCCGUUGAUACUGGUUGGCUUGAGUGCCGGUGGGGUACAUGGAAUUUGUGGUGUAGCGGUGAAAUGCAUAGAUACCACAAGGAACACCGAUAGCGUAGGCAUUGUACUUACCGGUAACUGACGCUGAGGCACGAAAGCGCGGGUAGCGAACAGG
rnacentral:rRNA from 1 species